rnacentral:rRNA from 1 species
GGACCCGCACAAGUAGUGGAGCAUGUGGUUUAAUUCGAAGAUACGCGCAGAACCUUACCAACACUUGACAUGUUCGUCGCGACUUUAAGAGAUUAAAGUUUUCGGUUCGGCCGGACGAAACACAGGUGCUGCAUGGCUGUCGUCAGCUCGUGUCGUGAGAUGUUGGGUUAAGUCCCGUAACGAGCGCAACCCUUGUCCUUAGUUGCCAGCACGUAAUGGUGGGAACUCUAAGGGACUCCCGGUGUUAAACCGGCGGAAGAUGGGGAUGACGUCAAGUCCUCAUGGCCCUUACGACUGGGGCUACACACGUACUACAAUGGCAACUACAAAGAGCUGCAAGACCGCGAGGUGGAGCUAAUCUCAAAAAAGUUGCCCAAGUUCGGAUUGGAGUCUGCAACUCGACUCCAUGAAGUUGGAAUCGCUAGUAAUCGC